UACGUAGGGUGCAAGCGUUGUCCGGAAUUAUUGGGCGUAAAGAGCUCGUAGGCGGUUUGUUGCGUCGGCUGUGAAAUCCCGAGGCUCAACCUCGGGUCUGCAGUCGAUACGAGCAAACUAGAGUGUUGCAGGGGAGACUGGAAUUCCUGGUGUAGCGGUGAAAUGCGCAGAUAUCAGGAGGAACACCGGUGGCGAAGGCGGAUCUCUGGGCCAUUACUGACGCUGGAGGAGCGAA
rnacentral:rRNA from 1 species